rnacentral:lncRNA from 1 species
CGGCCCCGGGCCUGCCCGGUCCGCUCCUCGGGCGCUCCGGGCGGGCACUGACAGGACGGCGCAGGCGGACAGAGCAAGGACACGAUCUCCACCAUUUUCCGUGGAAAGCUAUUUCACAGCCUGGUUUCUUGGUUGUCUUGUUCCUCCCACAAGGAAGUGUGCCUAGUUAUUUUGACUCAACACCUUACGGCUUUAUAGCUUCUAUACAAAACAGAAUGAAAAGCUUAUUUGGACCCUCUUCAGCACUCUACAUGCAGGAAGAGCUUUGUGGAAAACGUAAGAACUCUGAGUAGCAAAAGACAGAAGACGAUGAAGAAAGGAAGGGGAGAAUGACUGAAACCACACUCCACUAAGUGUUACGUAUGAAUUUGCAGAGCUCAUUCCCAGUAAGAUUCAAUUUUGGGAUUUGUAGUUUGGUGUGACAUACGGAUGUCUGAAUACUUCUGGAAAUAAACGCCAUUGGGAAGGACUUCAUUUCAAAUAAAACCCAUGUAUAACAAAUGCCAAAGCUUCCAGCAGUGUUCAACACUCUCUUAUCUCCAGUUGUUCAGAAAAGAAGAUGAGGAUACCUGAAACAUAUGAGAAAGAAGGCACAACAUCUGCUGUGGCAGAUACACCACUGGGAAACAG